rnacentral:rRNA from 1 species
AACGAACGCUGGCGGCAUGCCUAACACAUGCAAGUCGAACGAGACCUUCGGGUCUAGUUGCGCACGGGUGCGUAACGCGUGGGAACCUGCCCUUAGGUUCAGAAUAACUCCCCGAAAGGGGUGCUAAUACCGGAUAAUGUCUUCGGACCAAAGAUUUAUCGCCUUUGGAUGGGCCCGCGUUGGAUUAGCUAGUUGGUAGGGUAAAAGCCUACCAAGGCGACGAUCCAUAGCUGGUCUGAGAGGAUGAUCAGCCACACUGGGACUGAGACACGGCCCAGACUCCUACAGGAGGCAGCAGUGGGGAAUAUUAGACAAUGGGCGAAAGCCUGAUCCAGCAAUGCCGCGUGAGUGAUGAAGGCCUUAGGGUUGUAAAGCUCUUUUACCCGGGAUGAUAAUGACAGUACCGGGAGAAUAAGCUCCGGCUAACUCCGUG